rnacentral:rRNA from 1 species
UACGGGGGGGGCAAGCGUUGUUCGGAAUUACUGGGCGUAAAGGGCUCGUAGGCGGCCAACUAAGUCGGAUGUGAAAUCCCCAGGCUUAACCUGGGAACUGCAUCCGAUACUGGUUGGCUUGAAUCCGGGAGAGGGAUGCGGAAUUCCAGGUGUAGCGGUGAAAUGCGUAGAUAUCGUAAGGAAGACCAGUGGCGAAGGCGAGUCUCUGGACAGUUACCGACGCUGAGGCACGAAGGUCAGGGGAGCAAACGGG